CAUCCAGCAGACAAAAGGGUGGGACUGGCAGGAAAGGCAGCGAUGAGUAAAGCUCAUGUUCUCCUUUAUGAGCCCCUCAUCUAACGGCCGCAUUUGAUUACAGUAAGGCUCAGAGUUGAGGAACUUUUACAGGAUUACUGCCAGUUUCCUCCACACACACACACACACACACACACACAGAGUGCUGGAUGCUGGACCGUCUGGGUGAAACCGGAGUGGGGGAAGCUUUAAUGAGGGGUAUGAAGGGAUGAUGUUGAAGCCAGUCAGGGGAAACAGUGGGGAGUCUCCUUUGGAUCGUACAAUCCACUCGACUCAUGUUAUGCAGUUCAUUCUGUUUUGAUCCCAGUGAAGCUUCAAGAAGCAGUAAAAAGUAAUAUGAGUUCAGAUGGUGACGAGGCCCAGGCCAAUCGCACCCAUUAAGACGGCAUCCCACCAACACUUAAAACGUACAGCAGUGGCGCCUAACAACUGUGCUAGACUCCACGACUAUCCUCCUGGCAGGGAUCGCUGGAUAUUUCAGACGGGCAAGGAACAUUCAGGAGAAUUACAGUCCUUCUUUGGAGUUUGUGAGGCUUUUGGACUGCACUUUAUUUUGAAAGAAUUAGAUGCAGUCUGUUUGAUUCACUCUUGUGUUAUGUGGCACCAACCC